UGCAAACCAGCAAAUUUAAGAAAAAAGAUUACUCUAACAUUGACCCUGCAGUAUCGGGCCGCUACACUAUUUUUUUCGCUCAAGAUGACUGCUUUGUUGUUGCCACAACUAUGCAAGAUAACAAGCUGCCAGAGGGAAACAGCACUGCCGCAGCAUUCACAGGAAACCCACAGUGCUUGCUCUGGAGGAGGCCAGAGGGCACGAAACAAGAGCAUUCCGCAUGCAUAAGUGCAUUUACGAAGAUAUGCAGCUUUUACAGAGGACACGAAACUAGGUACAAAAAAGAAAUAUGCGCUGGUACAUAAAGGUAUAAGCGCUAUUCAAGAACAUCAGCGAAGAUUCACUACGUCAAAUUUAAGCCUGUCAGUACGCAAUUCCUUGUGAUGCCGAACUUAGGAAAUAAAGUAU